rnacentral:rRNA from 1 species
GAUGAACGCUGGCGGCGUGCCUAAUACAUGCAAGUCGAGCGAACAGACGAGGAGCUUGCUCCUCUGACGUUAGCGGCGGACGGGUGAGUAACACGUGGAUAACCUACCUAUAAGACUGGGAUAACUUCGGGAAACCGGAGCUAAUACCGGAUAAUAUAUUGAACCGCAUGGUUCAAUAGUGAAAGACGGUUUUGCUGUCACUUAUAGAUGGAUCCGCGCCGCAUUAGCUAGUUGGUAAGGUAACGGCUUAUCAAGGCAACGAUGCGUAGCCGACCUGAGGGGGGGAUCGGCGACACGAGAACUGAGACACGGUCCAGACUCCUACGGGAGGCAGCAGUAGGGAAUCUUCCGCAAUGGGCGAAAACCUGACGGAGCAACGCCGCGUGAGUGAUGAAAGUCUUCGGAUCGUAAAACUCUGUUAUUAGGGAAGAACAAAUGUGUAAGUAACUAUGCACGUCUUGACGGUACCUAAUCAGAAAGCCACGGCUAACUACGUG